rnacentral:lncRNA from 1 species
AUUUAAUCAUAGAGAAUCCUGUCAUCUUGAAUCAAAGUUGCCAACGAUUCAGUAUCACAAAAUGUGUUGAUUUGAUUGGUGAAUGUUACCUUCACAGAUUUUACCGCUGUGGUGUGAUGUCAAAACUGCGUUGCUUUUGUCACGCGCAUAUUUUCUGCCACAGUUUCGCAUUAGUGGGAACCAAACUUUACAUUUGCACACUUGUCCCAAUGUUAUAUGAGUCCCUGGAAUCCUGUAGCAUAGAAUUUUUCAGCUGCUAUUGUAGCCACAGGUACAUUUUCUAUUUGACCUCUCCAUUGUCACUGAAAUGUUGGCCUGCUAAAUAUGUUUUCAGUGACCAAAUUGAUGGAAGUUCUGAGUGCAAAAUCCAGAUGGUAGGAUGAAUGUUCCAACACUUACCACUGCAGUUUCUCCAUCUCUGCUAUCAUCAGAUGGGACAUAUGAGGUUUGACAUUGUUGUG